rnacentral:rRNA from 1 species
UCCGGAGGGGGCUAGCGUUAUGCGGAAUUAUUGGGCGUAAAGGGCGUGUAGGCGGCUCUGUGUGUCCCAUGUGAAAGCCCUCGGCUCAACCGGGGAACUGCAUGGGAAACUGCGGAGCUUGAGUCCGGGAGAGGUGAGUGGAAUUCCCAGUGUAGCGGUGAAAUGCGUAGAUAUUGGGAGGAACACCAGUGGCGAAGGCGGCUCACUGGACCGGUACUGACGCUGAGACGCGAAAGCCAGGGGAGCAAACGGG